rnacentral:rRNA from 1 species
UACAGAGGUGGCAAGCGUUGUUCGGAAUUACUGGGCGUAAAGGGCGCGUAGGCGGCCUACUAAGUCAGACGUGAAAUCCCCAGGCUCAACCUGGGAACUGCGUCUGAUACUGGAUGGCUUGAAUCCGGGAGAGGGAUGCAGAAUUCCAGGUGUAGCGGUGAAAUGCGUAGAUAUCUGGAGGAAUACCGGUGGCGAAGGCGGCAUCCUGGACCGGCAUUGACGCUGAGGAGCGAAAGCUAGGGGAGCAAACGGG